rnacentral:rRNA from 1 species
UACGAAGGGGGCUAGCGUUGCUCGGAAUCACUGGGCGUAAAGCGCACGUAGGCGGCUUUCUAAGUCAGGGGUGAAAUCCCGGAGCUCAACUCCGGAACUGCCUUUGAUACUGGAGAGCUUGAGUUCGGGAGAGGUGAGUGGAACUGCGAGUGUAGAGGUGAAAUUCGUAGAUAUUCGCAAGAACACCAGUGGCGAAGGCGGCUCACUGGCCCGAUACUGACGCUGAGGUGCGAAAGCGUGGGGAGCAAACAGGAUUAGAAACCCCCGUAGUCC